AUUGAACGCUGGCGGCAGGCUUAACACAUGCAAGUCGAGCGGGGGGAGGUAGCUUGCUACCUAACCUAGCGGCGGACGGGUGAGUAAUGCUUAGGAAUCUGCCUAUUAGUGGGGGACAACAUUUCGAAAGGGAUGCUAAUACCGCAUACGCCCUAAGGGGGAAAGCAGGGGAUCUUCGGACCUUGCGCUAAUAGAUGAGCCUAAGAAGGAUUAGCUGGUUGGUGGGGGAAAGGCCGACCAAGGCGACGAUCUGUAGCGGGUCUGAGAGGAUGAUCCGCCACACUGGGACUGAGACACGGCCCAGACUCCUACGGGAGGCAGCAGUGGGGAAUGUUGGACAAUGGGGGGAACCCUGAUCCAGCCAUGCCGCGUGUGUGAAGAAGGCCUUUUGGUUGUAAAGCACUUUAAGCGAGGAGGAGGCUACUGGUAUUAAUACUACUGGAUAGUGGACGUUACUCGCAGAAUAAGCACCGGCUAACUCUGUGCCAGCCGCCGCCGUAAAAC
rnacentral:rRNA from 1 species